rnacentral:rRNA from 1 species
UACGUAGGGGGCAAGCGUUGUCCGGAAUCAUUGGGCGUAAAGAGCGUGUAGGCGGCUUGGCAAGUCUCGCGUGAAAUCCUGCGGCUCAACCGCAGGCGGUCGCGGGAAACUGCCUCGCUAGAGUCCGGAAGAGGAGAGUGGAAUUCCUGGUGUAGCGGUGGAAUGCGCAGAUAUCAGGAAGAACACCCGUGGCGAAGGCGGCUCUCUGGGACGGUACUGACGCUGAGACGCGAAAGCUAGGGGAGCAAACAGG